GCGAUCGUACCAACACUAAUGCACCGGAUCCCAUCAGAACUCUGAAGUUAAGCAUGCGUGGCGAGAGCAGUACUAGGAUUGGUGACACCUUGGGAAGUCCUCGUGUUGCACCU
rnacentral:rRNA from 1 species